rnacentral:rRNA from 1 species
UACGUAGGGUGCGAGCGUUGCCCGGAUUUAUUGGGCGUAAAGGGCGCGUAGGUGGUUCUGUGUGCUCCGCGUGAAAUCGCCCGGCUCAACCGGGCGGGGUCGCGGAUGACUACAGGACUGGAGCCUGGGAGGGGGAAGCGGAAUUCCCGGUGUAGUGGUGGAAUGCGUAGAGAUCGGGAAGAACAUCAGUGGCGAAGGCGGUCUGCUGGGCCGUUGCUGACGCUGAGGCGCGACAGCGUGGGGAGCAAACAGG